GGCCGUGUAGUUCAGUUGGUAGAGCGUCGAUCUAGUAAUUCGGUAUUGGGUUCAAGUCCCAGCCGCGGCAG